AUCUACAGCCAUACCACCCUGAACGCGCCCGAUCUCGUCUGAUCUCAGAAGCUAAGCAGGGUCGGGCCUGGUUAGUACUUGGAUGGGAGACCUGUAGUCUUAAAAU
rnacentral:rRNA from 1 species